rnacentral:rRNA from 1 species
AUGGUUUGCGCCCCGACGGCGGGGGUGGAGGUGCUGCCGCCUCGCGGUCGCGGGGGUGUCUCCGCCCAGCGCUCCUGGCCGCCGAGCUGCGGCCGCGUCGCCGAGAACGGCGACGGCGAGAGGGGCGUCCAGGGAACGGCGGACGAGGCGGCCGGCCACGCGGGCGUUUCCUCUGCGGCGUGCAACGGCGGGCUCCCGCGCGACCCCCCUCAGCCGCAGCCGCCAGGCGUCGGGGAUGCGCGCCCCUCUGAUGGCCAGGCAGAGGUCAGGGCGCUCGAUGUGAUGCCGCUGGCGUUCGCCGUCCCACGGAAAUGUGCCGUUGCUCCUGCUAAUGGCUCCAUGGAAGAUGGCGGUCAUAUGGCCGAAUCGUUGAAUGUGGAGGGGCAAUUGGUCAGGGAUGAGGAUGUUGUUAUUGGCAAUGGAGAUGGCAGUGUUGUGGGAAGCAGAGUGGGCGACGGUGAAUUGGAGAGGGAGGAGGACGAGAGCAGAAAGAAGAGGUGGUCGGCAUCUGUCAUGAAUCCGCCUCCCAAGAGGAGAGCGGUCUCAGCCAAGCGCAGAUUUCCGCCUGGCUGUGGGAGUGUUGCUGCUACCGGCAUCGGCGUCGGAGGUUGUGGUGUUCCUCCGAUGUUGAAGCGAGAUGAUUCUAAUCACGAAACAGAAAGCAAAAGAGAAGAGGUCGGAGGUGCCACCGAGGCACACAAUGAUAUGCAAGAAUCUCAAGUCGUCAAUUGUGUUGCUCCAGAUGAUUUUGCAGACCGUCCACGAAAUUACGUUGGUCAUGGUGCUUCUCCGAUUUUGAGGCAAGAUGAUUCCAAUCACGAAACAGAAGGCAAAAGAGAAGAGGUUGAAGGUGCCACCGAGGCACACAAUCAUAUGCAAGAAUCUCAAGUCGUUAAUUGUGUCGCUCCAGAUGAUUUUGCAGACCGUCCAAGAAAUUAUGUUGGUCAUGGCACCUCUCCGAUUUUGAGGCGAGAUGAUUCUAAUAACGAAACGGAAGGCAAAAGAGAAGAGGUCGGAGGUGCCACCGAGGCACACAAUCAUAUGCAAGAAUCUCAGGUCGUCAAUUGUGUCGCUCCAGACCGUCCACAAAAUUAUGUUGGUCAUGGCGCUUCUCCGAUUUUGAGGCGAGCUGAUUCUAAUCACGAAACGGAAGGUAAAAGAGAAGAGGUCGGAGGUGCCACCGAGGCACACAAUCAUAAGCAAGAAUCUCAAGCCGUCAAUUGUGUCGCUCCAGAUGAUUUUGCAGACCGUCCACAAAAUUAUGUUGGUCAUGGUGCUUCUCCGAUUUUGAGGCGAGAUAAUUCUAAUGUGGAAAUGGAAGGCAAAAUAAAAGAGGUUGGUGGAGCUACCGAGGCACACAAUCAAAAGAUCCAAGAAUCUCAAGUCGUCAACGUUAUUGUUCAAGAUGGUUUUGCAAGAGGCCAACACGGCCAUGAUAAUCCACUAAAUGAUGUUACAAGUGACUCACCAAGACAUAGUUUCUUGGAGCAGAUGAAUGGUAGAAGAGUAUUACGUGAAAGGAAGCGCGCACCGCUAGUAGCGAGGAACGCUGAGAUUAGAAGCAAACGCGAAGGACGCUUGCAUGAAGGCACUCCGAGGACUCAUCCGAGAGGCCCUCUUAAUGUGAAGAGAAAGGGCAAGAGUUCAGAGAUUGUCAAGAUCAAUGUGAUAUUGGUAGAUGAUGCACGUGUGCUUGACGUGAUACGCUCGGCAUCUAAGUGUGGAGACCAUGUUGCGACCGAUCAAAUUGAAGAUAAGGAUGGUGUGGGCCUUAAUACUAAUAGGGUAAUUAUACAAGCAUUGAUGGCUCCAGACAAAUGCCCUUGGACGCAACGAAAGAAAUCUAUUGGUAGUGUUCCUAAAUCGCUUGCUCCUAGGAAAAAUGUGAAGAAGGUUGCUACUCCAAGGAAAGAAUUGCGCUCCAAAGUUACCCCUUCUACAUCGGCUAGGCGCAAGGCAAGAGAGGAUGGAGAAGAUUCCUUAGAAGAUGAUGAGAAAUCUUUGGCAGUACUUGCGCAUGAAAGAAAUAAUAAAUCAUGCGUCAACAUCCCUCGAUGUGCUCCUUCAGAUGACUUGAGUGUUGAUACCCGAAGCAAAAUUACGAAGAUUGAUGAGAGAAGUCGAUUGCGCGAUCCAAAGGAUAUACCACUUGUAGGGGGGGUUGGUGAUGUAAAAAACAAAUGUGAAGGAAGCUUGCAAGAAGGUACUUCGAGGACGCAUGUGAGAGCUCUUGUUAAUGUGAAGACAAAGGGCAAGAGACCAGAUAAUGUCAAGGUGAAUGGGAUAUUGCUAGAUGAUAGGAGGGUCUUUGAAGAUGACAAGACAGGAAACCAGAUUUCAAGAACUCGAAGAGGAGUGGCGCGCUCCUCAAAUAUUAAAAACGUGAAGAAAGGCUUGUUUGCUCAUAAGUUAAAGCACGAUGGCAUCAGCAAGGACUCUGGGAAUAGGUUCACGAAGGAAUCUAAGUGUGGGGAUCAUCUUCCGACCGAUCAAAUUAAAGAAAAUGAUAAUGUUGGCCUUGUCACCAACAAGAUGACUGUAUUAGCAUUGAUGGCUCCUGACAAAUGCCUGUGGACAGAAGGGAAGAGGCUUAUUGCUGGUGUUUCUCAGUCUCUCACUUGUAGGAAUAAUAACUCUCUUACCGUUCGUGAAGGCCUUUGUUUGCCUGACAUAUCUCAAGGAAAAGAGAGCAUUCCCAUAUGUGUGAUCAACACAAUUGAUGGCGUGCUGCCAACGCCAUUUAAGUACAUUACCAAAGUCAUAUAUCCGCCCUCAUAUGCAAAAGCACCUUCAGUAGGCUGUGACUGCACUAACGGUUGCUCGGACUCUAGUGAAUGUGCUUGUGCUGUGAAAAAUGGAGGGGAGAUCCCAUUCAAUUUGAAUAGCGCAAUUGUUUAUACAAAGCCUCUCAUAUAUGAGUGUGGCCCAUCAUGCAGGUGCCCGCCAACAUGCCACAAUAGGGUGAGCCAGCACGGCCCCAAAGUUCCACUGGAAAUAUUCAAGACCGGGAAGACAGGUUGGGGCGUAAGAUCCCUCAGUUUUAUCCCUUCAGAAGAAGAAGGUUCAGAAUCUUCUAAAUCCGAGAUGACGGCGGAAGGCUUGGGCUAUACAAUAGAUGCUGCAAAGUGUGGUAAUGUUGGAAGAUUCAUCAACCAUAGCUGCUCUCCAAACAUGCAUGCACAGGAUGUUCUCUGGGACCAUGAUGAUAGGAGGAUGCCGCAUGUUAUGCUUUUCGCCGAAAAGAAUAUCCGUCCUCUACAAGAGCUUACUUACGAUUACAAUUAUAACAUAGGUAAUGUGCGCAAGAAUGGCAAGGUGAAGGAGAAGAAAUGCUUUUGCGGUUCGUCGAAGUGCCGCCUCAGGCUUUACUAA